rnacentral:rRNA from 1 species
UACGUAGGUGGCAAGCGUUGUCCGGAUUUAUUGGGUUUAAAGGGUGCGUAGGCGGUUUUGUAAGUCAGUGGUGAAAUACUCCAGCUUAACUGGAGGGGUGCCAAUGAUACUGCAGAACUUGAGUACAGAUGAGGUAGGCGGAAUUGACGGUGUAGCGGUGAAAUGCAUAGAUAUCGGGAGGAACACCUGUGGCGAAAGCGGCUCACUGGACCACAACUGACGCUGAUGCGCGAAAGCUAGGGGAGCAAACAGG